rnacentral:rRNA from 1 species
CCUACGGGUGGCAGCAGUGAGGAAUAUUGGUCAAUGGUCGGGAGACUGAACCAGCGAAGCCGCGUGAGGGAGGAAGGUACAGAGUAUCGUAAACCCCUUUUGCCAGGGAACAAAGACUGGGACGCGUCCCCGGAUGAGUGUACCUGAAGAAAAAGCAUCGGCUAACUCCGUGCCAGCAGCCGCGGUAAUACGGAGGAUGCGAGCGUUAUCCGGAUUUAUGGGGUUGAACGGGUGCGCAGGCGGUCUGUUAAGUCAGCGGUCAAAGCCCGGGGCUCAACCCCGGCCCGCCGUUGAAACUGGCAGACUCGAGUUGGAGAGAGGUAUGCGGAAUGCGCGGUGUAGCGGUGAAAUGCAUAGAUA